GACGAACCGAGCGAACGUUGUUCGGAAUCCCUGGGCUUAAAGGGCGCGUAGGCGGGCCGCCGCGUCCGGGGUGAAAUCCUCCCGCUCAACGGGAGAACGGCCUCGGAUACGGGCGGUCUGGAGGGGGGUAGGGGCGUGCGGAACUGUGGGUGGAGCGGUGAAAUGCGCAGAUAUCAGGAAGAACACCAAUGGCGAAGGCAGCUCUCUGGGACGGUACUGACGCUGAGACGCGAAAGCGUGGGGAGCGAACAGG
rnacentral:rRNA from 1 species